UACGAAGGGGGCUAGCGUUGUUCGGAAUUACUGGGCGUAAAGCGCGCGCAGGCGGUCUUCCAAGUCAGUGGUGAAAGCCCGGAGCUCAACUCCGGAACUGCCAUUGAAACUGUGAGACUUGAGUACGAGAGAGGUGAGUGGAAUUCCCAGUGUAGAGGUGAAAUUCGUAGAUAUUGGGAAGAACACCGAUGGCGAAGGCAGCCAUCUGGACCGACACUGACGCUGAGGCGCGAAAGCGUGGGGAGCAAACAGGG
rnacentral:rRNA from 1 species